rnacentral:tmRNA from 1 species
GGGGGUGUACUGGUUUCGACGGGGGAAAUAGUGGCAGAAGAAGCGAGUCGGGAUUGCACUAGCCCGUAAAACGGUGCACAGUUAUUUAAACGCAGAAGAAAAUUACGCUUUAGCUGCUUAAUUGCAGUCUAACCUUUUACCUUCUACGCCCGGUGUGAAGGAUAAAAGGUCAUUUUACCGGGCUACUCUUGGACUAUCGUUUCCUAAGCUAAGAGGAAUUUAAGGAAACUUGCCAGUCAGUAUCCUGCCUACGGGAGAUUGAUAGGUGAAAACUAAAACAUAGGCUGCACUCGGAGAAGCUUCUGUGGCUGUUCUUUCGGACAGGGGUUCGAUUCCCCUCACCUCCACCA